rnacentral:lncRNA from 12 species
AAAAUCAAACUAUGAGAUAUACUAUGAAAUAUAUAUUGCAAUUACAAAACAUAAAUUUGCUAGCUAAAAGUCACAUUAUGAAUUUGUCAAUAUGAGAAAUAAAGUUUUUUGAGCUAUAAAGUUUUUUUUUUUUUUUUUUUUUUUAAUUUUGAAAUCAAGAGUUUCGAGAUUUCAGAGUCUUUUCUUGACUUACUCCAGCAGAUAAGACCCAUCUGGUCUCUGAAAACUGUCCCUAAUGCCCCGUAAUCCAGUGAGCUCAGCAGCAUCCUCAGAUAAACCAGGAACAGUUCUGUCAUCAGUAUGCAAAUGUUGUAAUCGCACCAUCUCAUAUCUGUUCACUCCUUUUGCAGGAGCCCAAAGGACCCUCGGCAGAAGAUCAUCAAACGGGUCAAUGGGAUCGAGGGGGACUUCAUCAAAACGCUGGGAUAUAAAAACCAUUACAUAAGAGUUCCAGAUGGACAUCUGUGGAUCGAGGGGGACCAUCACUCACAUUUGGACCGGUGACCGAUGGAAACUGUCUUUCAGGCUGCAGUUUCAAAGGAUCUUUUCUGUGAGUACAUUAUCCCCCUUUCAAGUCCCUCCAAACCUCCCAGGUAUUUACAAUACUCUCCAAAUGAAGGCUUUUGGGAGCUUGUUGGAAUCUCUCCCAUGUCCUUCUGGCCAUAAAAAGCAAUGA